GGAAAUCGGCUUCAGAUUAAAAAAAAAAUAGGAAAAAAACAAACGCGCACAAGAAAUUCACUUGAACAUCUCAUCUUCUUCUGGCCUGAAAGCACCUUCCUCCGCCGUGCCGGAGGUUUCCUUCGGCAGUGGCGGAGAGCUAAACCGUGAAUACAAUACACUAACUUAUUUGUCUUUUCCUACACUAAUCAAAUCCUAUAUCUAAUUUACCUAAUUCCUAUUUCAAAGCCUAAACCGAAGCAAAAUCAAUGAAGAACCUUAAUCACAAAAUGUUAAAUUAAAUGAUCAUCUCUUGGAAUCAGAGCCCAAGAGGUUGUGGCUUUGAUUCCCCAGUCCCUGUCUCACAUGCCCGUAACUGAAUUGAUGUGAAAGGAGGAAAAAGAAGCUUACGCUGCCGGUGAAGGUGAAGGUGACGAUGGCGAGAUUCUGGUAAGGUUCUUUGUUAUUACUAUUUCUUGUUUUCGAGUUUAGAAUCUUCUUCUUCUCAUUCUUCUAUGGAAUUAUGUUGUGUUUUCUUGCUCCGGUGUUCAAUUCACGAGUGAGGUUCGAGACUAAUGAAGCUAUAAUUCGAGCUUCUUUGGGAUGAAUGGAGGUGAAUGGUGGAUGAUUGAAUUCUGAUGGAAAUGGAAUAUGAGAGAGUGUCUGAAGUUGAUAAAUUAAUCAAUGAUGAACUUGGGUAUGCAAAAGUGGAUAUUUGAAUUGAACAAAGCCUAAGCAUGAAGACACAAGAGAACUCGGUGAAUGCAACAUUAAAAGUAAAAAGGAUCCUUGAAGAUUCAAAAAGAUGACUUGGUGGAGAAGCAAUGCAAGAUAUAGGGUUUAGGAUGGUAAAAAAAUAGUUAGUUGACGACGUUGAUCUAAAAGUCAAUAGUUGACCAAAAGUCAACUUAGGUGAAAAUGUAUUUUUUUGGUAUGGAGUGAUUUGUAAUAACUUUAUGAUGUAAUAGAUUGAUAUUGAAACAACAAUGAUCUUGUAUACACAAUGAACUUGGAUUUCCAUA